rnacentral:rRNA from 1 species
AACGAACGCUGGCGGCAGGCCUAACACAUGCAAGUCGAGCGCGCCCUUCGGGGUGAGCGGCGGACGGGUGAGUAACGCGUGGGAACGUGCCCUUCUCUGCGGAAUAGCCUCGGGAAACUGAGAGUAAUACCGCAUACGCCCUUUGGGGGAAAGAUUUAUCGGAGAAGGAUCGGCCCGCGUUGGAUUAGGUAGUUGGUGGGGUAAUGGCCCACCAAGCCGACGAUCCAUAGCUGGUUUGAGAGGAUGAUCAGCCACACUGGGACUGAGACACGGCCUAGAACCCUACGGAGGGCAGCAGUGGGGAAUCUUAGACAAUGGGGGCAACCCUGAUCUAGCCAGGCCGGGUGGGUGAUGAAGGCCUUAGGGUUGUAAAGCUCUUUCAGCUGGGAGGAUAAGGACGGUACAGCAGAAGAAGCCCCGGCUAACUCCGUG